UAUAGCAUGGAAUUAAAAUGCAUAUUCUAGAAAUAAAAACUGAAAUAGCUUGCUUGGAUAAGUGUCCAUCCCCCUUUAUAUAAUUAGUAUUAUUGUAUACUCCUCAACCUAUUUUGUGUUUUUUCUGCAUCACGUCUAUUUAUUUAUUUUUUUUCAUGAAUGUCUUUCAGUUGUAGUGCUGUUAGGGGCCCCUGAGUGGCACACCUGAUGAAGUAUGGCCACGUCCUGGCUGUGUGAAGUCACCGGUCUUCGCUGGGGAUUCCACAGGGAGUGUUGUGUUGGCGAGUUAGGGAGUGACAUGUAAAACCCCUGUGACCUCAAGUUGCUUAUUGUUUGAUGGUUGGCGAUGCUACAGAAAAAAAGGCUCAGGAUUCCUUUAUAACAUCUGAAGGAGUUCUAUAUAAUGCAAGGUGAGAUUAGACUAUUACGCUGCCUGUUUGGAGAAUAUUGUGGUGGUUAUGUGUGCUAGGUCCAAAUCAUCUAGCUUUUUACUGGUCUCCGAAGUAGUGUUAUGGGAGAGAAGCUCUUCUGGGGGAUUGUUUAUUCCUGCCAGUGAAGGAAAGAAGCCUUUUUCCCUAAAGUCUACUAUAGUCACUAUACUUUCUAUAAGGGCAUGUCUAGUAUAGGGGGCAGUAAUAUAAAAAGUGUUAUAGGAAAUUUCAGUUCAGUGUGCGCCUCUAAGAGGACAGGAUAGAGAAGAAAAACAAUUGGGGAACCAAUCCUGUAUUCUUUACACAGGAGGCAGAUCAUUUCAUUUAAAAUUAUGCAGUGUUUGUUGUUUCAUAUAACAAGCCAUGAAAUGAAGGUGAACAUUUUCAGUUAUAAAACCCAACAACCCAUCUAGGUGGGCCUUUUUGAAGCUGCUGUGACAUUCUCAGUAUUUUCCAUUGUGUUAAGUCUGCUGGUUCACAGCAGUAUCAGCCCCACAGGCACACAAUGUACUCCUCAGAUCACGUGAUAGACUGAACUAUUUUACUGUGCGUUCAUGUGAUUAGGGCUCUCCCCCAUGUUUUAUUUGAAUGAGCUCUGUGGAAUAGGUUACAUCUUUCAUAUAGGAAACCCUGCACAGAUAUUGAGAAACUGAGACACUGUUUUUUCAUCGCACAGCAAGGAUGUAGCUGCCACUCCAGGAAGGGGAAGUGGCUUACCCCUGUGAGUCAGUUGCUGUGUGCGAUUUGAGCCCCUGAUCCCUGAACUGCCAGCCUGCAGCUGGAUCCACAGGGGCUGACUGCCUGCUCGUAUUUUGAUAAUCUUUCUCCUUCCUGACCUCCCGGCUCCCAACUGGCGCCAGUGGUCUCCGCCUAUUCUCCCAGAUAAUUGAGAGCAGCUGCUGCAAGGUGCUUCCACUAGUCUGCAGCUCCGCUCGCACUUGCUUUGCAGCCCUCCCAAGCGCAAACUUCCAAGGAACUAAGCUCACACCCACACACAGGCUUCUCAACUGUCCCCGAUUCUGAGGGAUCGUUGUUUAGCAUGCCUGCAGCCACACCAGCUUGUGGAGUGCUGUGACUGUAUCAUUUUAGCCCUUGUUAAGCUGCUGAUUCCGGCUUUGCUGUCUCCAGACCCCCGCACAUGUUGCGUCUGCGGUGGUCUGCUCCUUUUGAUUGGGAUCCCGAGCCGCCCCCCACUGUCUGGAGGUUAAUGAGAAGCUGUGUGUGUGUGAGAGAUCCAGGGGAAUGGCGGGGGCUGAAGGGAAUGAAAAGCAGACUGCGGGUGGAAGCCCUGGGGGACUCUGGUCUAGGCACGGCUCCACACAAGGGUGCACACUGAGAGAGCUGGCGAGCUGUGGCUGUAAAGGGGUGAUGUCCUCUGGAAGUCCAGAUGAGGAAGCCUUUGGUUCACAGGCAAAACACUGCUGGUUAGCUAAAGAUACUUUUCUAACCAAGCUGAGGAUUUGUUGCAGACGUUUAUACAUGCAUGUCCUGAACAAAGGAAGUGGAUCAGCGAUGGCAGCAGAAAUGAAGUCCAAAAUAUAGUUAGUGACUUGUCUGAAAAUCCCCAUAUGUGCACCAAAUAUCUGCCAGAUGAGAUGAUAUUGAAAUAACAAUUGAUUCUUAUUGCAUAAAUUCUAGUGGGGUUUUUUUUGUUGUUUUGUUUUACUGUUCUAUAUCCUUUACAAGAUAUGAAAAUAAAAUAAGGAACUAAAUCAAGCUGAUCGGUAGCAGUUCCUUAAAAUACAGAACAGGUGACGAUGCCAUUUCCCACCAUCUCACCAUUGCUGUCUGAGUGUUUGUGAGUGUUUGUGAGCCUUUCUGGGCAGCUGCUUUGAUCUGUUUUGAAACAGUCUUGAUGACUGUACUGCUGUGAAAGCAACAAGCUGUCGGGUGAGGAGGAAGGUAGCUGAAUUCCUUAGACAGGUGGUACCACAUGAAGAAGAGAAGAAGGAGGGGGUGGGAGAGGCACUAGUCUAAUGUUGUGUGAGACUGCCUUUGAUCUCAGGUGCCAUGGCUGUUGCAGUAGCUCAGCUAACAUCCCGCUGAGAAUCAACAGUUUUAAUGGGAAACUUGUAAAACAGUGUAAAAACAGGGAGCACUUUAUGUGAACUGGACACUGUAGCAUUGAUAACACCUUCAUAGACAAUGCACAGCACUGUAGCACUAAGUGCAUGCUCCUUUAGACAACCCUAAUUGUAGGAACGCUAAGCAAAAUAAUGCAAUCUGUCAUGCGAUCUUUAGAAUCACUUUGAAAAAACGAUUUAACAGGCACGACUCGCAACAUGCUGUCAUCAGUGUAUUAAAAAUGUGCCAUUGCCAGUGCAUGUCUGUGACUCGCUACUGUAUUUAUUGAGAUGUUUUGUAUCAUUUUGUAGUAUUUAUGAAACAAAUGCAUUACACUUGUUUUUUUUAAAUACUUGCAGUUAUACAGUGAUAUUUAGUCUUCAUGAAGAUGUUAUGAAUCUCAUUUAGAGUGGACACAAAAUGCCCUCCUAUAAAAGUGGUAUUUUAACAGUGUAUUAACUACAUUGCAAAAAAGGAAUAGAUGUGAUGGUAGGCUGUCUGAAUGAUAUGUAAUGAAAGAUUACACCCCUCUGUUCCUAUAUGCCCCCCAUGUGUAACCCAACACCCCAGCUGUAGGUUACUGCCUCUUGUGUCCUUCAUCAGAUAAAACCAGUAUCUAAUAGCAUGCUACCAGAUUUCCUAUAUGAGCGGGUCUUUAACAGCAAUGCAAACAGGCAUGUAGCCUGAGCACAGAUUCCCUUGAGAACGCAGUAUGUUGCCUAUUCUCUCCAGAACUUAGUGUACAGUACAUUCAAGGUUUGAGAUAUUCAGACAGUGUAGCCUUGAGAAGUGGUGUGUGGCCUGGGGCUGUGUUUUGAGACAGCCAAUGGUUUGGUGAAAUGGAGCCAUUCCUUCAGGGAGCAGCAUCUGGAAAGGCUUGUGUCUGGAGCAGUGGGGGUAGCACUGCUGGGAGUUUAAGGCAAGUGCUGUGGGAACUUACGUGUCCUCAAAAAGCACAGGAUCUGUAUCACUCCCCACAGAACACAGAUCCUCACAAAUUGCUUAAUAAAACACCAAAAAAAAAUUGUUUCCUUUUUGGGUGCUAGUAAUCUACUUUCCAGGCCAGAGGUGGCGCUGUUGUAACAGCCAGCGUUGUGUGAUGCGCUGCUGUAACGGUCUCUGGUCCCUGUGGGUGAGAUGGCUAUAGCCACGAAUGCAGACGAGCCCGGCCAUUUUACAUUGUGGUUAAGGCGCUUGCUGGCGGUUCGCACCCAGCCCCUGCCCUGUUACACUGUGAGCUUCAGAAAUGCUACAUAAAACAGCUAUUAGUGUUGCAUCCUUUCCCCAGUGUGACUCCUCUCCGGGUGCUCUAAUUCCAUUCCAGAUUUUCCAGAUAUUCAUCAAUUAUUUGAAUAGUGUGAAAACAACAUUGCAUUAAAAGGCGACAUUUGUGCCCAUGCUGUCCUACCCCCACAUUGUACUUAAAGUAUGUUGCCUACCUGCAAGUAAACUACAGUAAACUCUCACUAGCCCAAUCCCUGGUAGCCUGAACUGACCUCUAAUCUGAAUCUCUCUCAUAAUUAAAUGCAUGCUGAUAACAAGAGUAGAAACCAAACUUCAGUAUCAUAACUGUUGAAAACAUUAGCGCUCCAGAAUGAUAUUCCCUGUCCCAGAGUGCAGAACGACAGGGAGUUUGUAAACACAUUGGGAGUCUCCAUUACAGAAAUGUGGGAGUAAAGUUUUAACACAUGUCUCAAAAGCCAGUCUUCAUUCUUAUAAACUUCAAUUGUGGGACAGUUUGCUCACCUCCAUCUUUAGCUUAUGAGUAACACGUUUUCUAAACAGGAGUAUUUAGUGGGGUAAAUGAUAAAGCUAGUCAUUCAGCAUACUGUGUAAAUGCAUGUAUUGUAUUAACAAUUUCAUGUGAGCUCAGGGUGCGCUAUGUGCUUUGCAUGAAUACGACUUGUAUUGUUUUUUUUCCACGGCUGUGGUCAGAGAGAGUUGUGUUUCAGAGUGACAGCUGCUGAUGUCGUCGUGUGACUUCAGGCAGGUUGCUGAACCCUGACUGCCCAAUCUGUCUUUCCCUUCAGCACUCAGGGAGUGUGUGGUAACCUGAGUCCCUUUCGAAAGGCAGUGGACAGGUGUCUGACCUGCGAAGAGCCUGGGGCUCAAAGGACUGAGAGCUCUUCUGAAACACCUGCCUCAGUGCCAGCAGCUACCUGCUACCGUACUGCUGAGAAGAGCUCGGACACCUCCCUUACCGUACUAUGUAGAAUAUCUCACCAUGCACAUGUAUAAUACAGAAAGAAUCCCCACUGUCCUGAAGCACUGAUAUUAUAGAUUGCUGGGGUAAUGAAAAAUGAUCUUUGUAAUAAAACUAGAUCAAUGUUUUGGACAGCAGCUUUUUUAUGCAAUUCAAAAGUACAGAACAGCGUUAUGGAUAUAACAGUACAGUCUUACAUUGAUUAAAGACUGAAGUAAAAACAUGUCUCUGACAAAUUGUACUAAAGUAUUUCAAACAUUAUAAAGGCUGUUGAUAUAGACACAUUGGGUGUCUAAUUUCAAUAGAAGAUGGGUUGGCGAGUAAAACUGACAUCAUCUUGAAAAAGAAAACAUUUAGACUUUGACAUCAAGCCAGUUAAUCCAUUUCAGCGCCAAAAAAAAAUGCAGUCAUUGCUGCACUGAACUGAAACACUUUAAUUUGCAAAGAGCUCGUGCAUUCCACAGUAAGAGGGAUUAACAGCAUUAAAAAACAACCUCAAGCCUUCUAUUUUUAAGAGGAGAUAACAAUCUCUGCUCCACCUUUUUAAGAAAUCUUAAGAAAAGCAAUUCUAGUACCAUAGCCUACAUGUCCUUUGGUUGCGACAAUUCUAAAUAUUAUUUGCUUGCUACAGUCCUGCCACAGUCCCAGAUUUAAAAAUAAUGUUACAAACCCUAGUACCUAGUUUUUAUUUGUUCCUGUUCGCCAUUUCAGAAAAGUAAAAGGUUUUCUAUCCCAUAAUGUAACUCCCGACAACAUAAUUGUGAGUCUUUCACAUGGUGACGGCUUGCUAAUUGCUCUCAUUAGGUAUGCGCACUCCAAAUCAAGGUAAAUCAGGACAGUCUACUGUACAUAAAUAUUCAAGACCAGAGACUUUCCUUGUUGUAUUGUUUUUGCAUUAUUCGUUUUGGGGCUUAAAUCCCACCUGUGUUUAGCAGCAGAUUUCCUGAAGGCUCCUGGGCACAGAUUUGCAAGAUCUGAGGCAGGUGCACUGCUGUGCCUGCAGGGCGCCAGCUGAAUAUCUGUUGAUCAGUGGGCUCGGCACACGCCGCUCACCCUCCCUGCCAGCAGGAGCGUGCCUACACUGGCCUGCAGGGCUGGAAUGUGCUGCAACAAUAGCCACCCACUGACCCCUCCCUUGUCUCCCAGGUACAGCAAGCCUGGACUGGAGCACAAUUACACCGUGCUCCUGGUCCUGCCCCUCCCAGGGACCUUCAGGCACAUGCUAGCCACAUAUUUUUGCAAUCCAGGUGAAUACAGAUGGCUACGUUAGUGACAAGAGGUUGCAAAGAUCUCCAGUCAGUGGGAAGUGACAUGGGCCAUUGGCCACUGGCAGAAAGCUACAUGGUCUGACGAAUCCCUUUUCACUUUGUGUCUGGAGAAGCUGAAGGAAAGCCUACAGCCUGGAGUGUGUGGUGCCAACCAGAGGUAAUGAUGGUUCCCUGGUGGAGAGCCCAGGGAUUGUGCUGAUUGGCUGCUUGUAUAAAAAUGUGAAGAACAAGGUGCAUCAUUGGAAAUUAACUGCAAUGCACUCUAGUGAGACCAGGAGUGCUUUGGGCUCAUGUUGUGUUGUAAGCAAUUCUUAUGGUGUGUUGACUUGCAAAAUGUCGACACACCAUAAGAAUAUUUGUUGUUAUCUUUGUGUUUCGGUGUUUCUUUUAUAAAUGUAAUGCAUUUAUAAGGACAGCGAGGUUUUUUAGGUGAAUGCACGUUGCCACAUCCAAAUUGCAAUCUAUGACCCAGCACCAAAAAAAAGUUGUAGAAUUUAGAAUGAAAUUCCCGUCUCCCUGUCCCUUAGGCUCUCUCAGGUUUUGUGGGUUAAAUUCAGAAUGAUCCAGACUUCAAGCCAUACAGAAAAAUUGGGUUUAUUACAUCCAGUAAGAAUUUGAACCAAUACAAAAUGAUGUUUUUUAGCAACACUUAUCUGAGUUUGAACAGCUCAUCCUGGUGUAACAGGCAAUGUGUGUGAGACAUUGCAGUUACAAAUUCGGACCCGUCGGUGAGGUGAGAUGAGGUUCAAAGAUGCGCGGUGGUGUGCGGGGUCCCCGGUUUGCACCCAGCCUCCUCGCUCUUACACCAGCAUAUGCAUCUCAACUAUCAUUUCCAUUUCUUGCAUGGCUCUGAUUUUGUGAACAGUUAUUAGCAAUCACUAUUUCCCAGCUACAUGCAGGCUGCUUCUGAGACAUUAAAGAGUGCAGUUAAUGUACUCUGAGUGCUCUUCAUAGCAGGUUUGAGUGCAGUUCUGUUAAUAUCCAGCAGGUGUUAUUGUGUAUGCAGUGAAACCUGUUGAAGAAGAAGAAGAAGGAUAUGCCGCCUUUUCCCAGCACCAGGUGGGCUGUGUCAACUGAGACCUGAGCCAUGCUUCGUUUCUCCCCUGCUCUUGGCUACUGAACGACGGAUUCUUGCAUGCCUGGGAAAGAGCUCCACACAGACUCGGCAGGGUAAGGAGAGCUGGGCUCGUGAAAACAAGAAUACUUCCACUCACCCCGGCAGAGGACUGACCUCCAGGACAAAUUCUCCUUAUGAAGCCUGAAAUGAGGGUGGGAGAGGUUAGGGGUGUUGCUGAUCUUUUUAGGACAUGCUGAAAAAGCAACUCUCCUCACUCUCAGUGGGGUUUUGUUUUUACAGCUGGUGCAGGCAUUGAUACAGACAGUCAAGUCAAAUCCAAGGAGGUCAAGCGAUGUGCAACCUCCACAGGGGAGCAGUGGUGUAUCUUCCACACCCAGCCUUAUUGGCUGAACUGUAACAUCACCCAGUAGCUAAACUGAGCUUUACUUUUUGUCGCACCAUUCCUGGUAACCAUGCUGGCUUCCGCUCUCCAGUUCCUGGGUGUAAAAGAGGAAGCUGGCUCAUGGGAUCGGAGGACGCCCACUGAACCUUCAGUUCUCCCGGACUGUGUGGGGAAUCGCAGUGGUGAGGAAAAAAAAAAAAUUUGAACAUUAGAAAAUGGGGAGAAUGAGGAGGAAAUGCGGGGGUAGAAUAAAUUGGGCACACAAAAGAAAAAUAAAAAAAUAGUUGUUGCUUGUGGCACCCAUAAUGGAGGCCAGCUGUUUAUACUCCAUAGAAAUAUGAUAUUAUAAUAAUCUUCAAGGUCCACAGAAAUGUUGACUUACUGUUUAAUG